rnacentral:lncRNA from 1 species
GUUGUCUUGGUAGAAGAUAUAUUAAUUGUAACUUGUGACUUCACAUAGGUUUUCUUAUGCUGUUGAAAUAAAUAUCGAGUAAUAUUGUACAAAAUCAAUUAGGUUUUGCCAUUUGAUUUUUAACCAUAAAAAAUAUAGAUCCCCCUAAAGUAAUUUACCCUUGGUUCACUUCAAGGUUAAUAGAAAUAUUUAUAUUAACCUUGAUUCACUUUAGAUAUUAGUAGAACUCAUUGGAUGUGGCAUCUAUAGAAACAUAAAAUUCUUAAGAACAAGUGAAGUCGUUUUUUGAGGAGGUAUGAGACGAAAAUUCAAUUUUCUGCUUAGAAAAAGUGCAAUAACUCAAUGCUCAUCCAACAAAUAAAAGUCAAUUUGGUGUGAACAAAAUUAUACACUCAAAGUCAAUAUAUAUACGACGUAGGAACCUAUUUGAAGUCCUUGAUUCAGUUACUUUUGAUUUUUUUGUAAGCUCCCUACACUACGCCAUCAUAAAGUCAAUGUACCAAAAGUAAAUUAGUGUUGUCAAAGAUUAAGGAAGAACUUGUGAGAGAGGAUAUCUUCAAUCUUGCCUUAGACGAGACUACAGGUAGAUCCAAACAUUACUUAUUUUUCCAUGGACAUGGAGCAUGAGGAUUUGUACUCAGAACCCGAAAACCCACAGUAUGAUGACCAGAAAGACCCCGAGUUUGAUGACUCGGACUUGACCUAAACAUUAAUUACUAAUUAUUUAUGGACUAUGAGGAUCUAUAAUGAAGAUGCAAAAUAAUUAAUGGGAAUUAUGAAUUUAGGCUUUAUUGAUGAUAACCUCGACCAAAAUAGUACAUAUUUAAGUUGUGCGUACAAGUUUCACUAUAAAAAAGGUCUUACAUGCCGUGAAUGGAUAACGUUAUUACUGUUGACUUAUUGAUUGCAUCACUAUUUUUCCAUACCAUUGAGACUCAAUUGAAGCGUUCGGUCUAGUAAUCAAUCGUUUUCGAUCACCAGAAUUAAGAAACAAAAUUUUUACUUUUCUUGUAUUUACCAAGUAAUUCGGAGAGAGUGUUACUAUUCUGUUCAGAACAUGAGAGAGUAAAGUGGCAUUCAACAUCAUUUGGAAAUUUUGCCUAAGGCUUUUGACUGAUAUUACAAAAUAAGUUUUACCAUCGAUAAUGAAAACCUUUAGUCUCUUGCCACAGAAAUCUAAGCCAAAAAUAUUGUUAUGACUUUUGACUUCAGUUGUUCUAUUGUCAGCACUCUUAGCAUCUUUCAAAUUUAUUAAAUAUGGGCAACCUAACUUUGACCAUAUAAUGUACCAAUCAAUACUGCAAUCAUUGAUCAUAUGAUUCAAGAAUAUCCUUUCCUACAUGAUCUUUCGUAAUCUUUGACGAAACUACUUUAUUUAGGGACUCCUAAUUACUUUGUGAUGGUUUAUCAAGAAGGAAUGGCUUUGUUAGUAUAAAGUUUCAUAAAUUUUACAAUAUUACAAUGGCUAUCAAUAUGGACUGAGAUAUUGCAGGAGACAUGCUUCUUCUUCAUAUCUGACAUAAAAUUAGAAGCAUUAUAACAGGAUUCAGUUAUAUUCUUUGAAUAAAGAUUCAAAUUAUUAUUGUCAAUUUAGUUUUUCUCAUGCUGUUGAAAUGCGAAUUUUCUAUAGGCUUGUAUCCCAAAUCCACAAAAGCCACGUGACAAAAACCUUUAAGCCUUCCCAUAUAUCUAUACUGUUUCUCCUUCUUUAUCAGCGAAAAAGGAAUUAAAAUUAUAUAUAACAAUUAUAAAAGGAAAAUUAAUGUUUUUAAAUAUUAAAAAAUAAAAUAUAAUUGUUAUAUUUAUUUUUACUUGUUACAUGCAUAACAUUUAAAACAUGUUAGAAUUCUCAUAAGAAAAGUGUGUAAUAUUGAAAUUGUUGGUCAAAUACAUCUUAGAAUAAAUACAAUUAAAAAAACUAUCAAUAA